UGAGGAAUCUUCCGCAAUGGGCGCAAGCCUGACGGAGCGACGCCGCGUGAAGGAUGAAGGCCCUUACGGGUCGUAAACUUCUGUUCUGAGGGACGAAAUUUUUUGACGGUACCUCAGGAGAAAGUAUCGGCAAACCCUGUGCCAGCAGCCGCGGUAAGACAGGGGAUACAAGCGUUACUCGGAAUUACUGGGCGUAAAGCGUCUGUAGGUGCUUUGGUAAGUCUGUGGUAAAAGCUCGGGGCUCAACCCCGAGAGCGUCAUGGAAACUACCGAAGUUGAGCAGUAGAGAGGCAUCUGGAAUGCCGCAUGUAGGAGUAAAAUCCGUAGAUAUGCGGUAGAACGCCAAAAGCGUAGGCAGGAUGCUAGCUACUUGCUGACACUGAGAGACGAAAGCGUGGGGAGCGAAGCGGAUUAGAUACCCCAGUAGUCCCUGAGCGGGCUGGCAAGGCGCAU
rnacentral:rRNA from 1 species